rnacentral:rRNA from 1 species
UACGUAGGGCGCAAGCGUUGUCCGGAAUUAUUGGGCGUAAAGAGCUCGUAGGCGGCCUGUUGCGUCCGCUGUGAAAUCCCGGGGCUCAACCCCGGGCCUGCAGUGGAUACGGGCUGGCUGGAGGCAGGCAGGGGAGAACGGAAUUCCUGGUGUAGCGGUGAAAUGCGCAGAUAUCAGGAGGAACACCGGUGGCGAAGGCGGUUCUCUGGGCUGACACUGACGCUCAUGCACGAAAGCGUGGGGAGCAAACAGG